GUCACUGCUAUUGGGAUUCGACUAAGCCAUGCGAGUCGAGAGGGUUCGGCCCUCGGCUGACGGCUCAGUAACACGUGGAUAAUCUGCCCUUAGGUGGAGGAUAAUCUCGGGAAACUGAGGAUAAUACUCCAUAGAUCUAGGAUGCUGGAAUGCACCUAGAUUGAAAGCUCCGGCGCCUAAGGAUGAGUCUGCGGACUAUCAGGUUGUAGUCAGGGUAAAGGCCUGACUAGCCUACGACGGAUACGGGUUGUGAGAGCAAUAACCCGGAGACGAUAUCUGAGACACGAUAUCGGGCCCUACGGGGCGCAGCAGGCGCGAAAACUUCACAUUGUGCGAAAGCGCGACGAGGGAAUCCCAAGUGUUUGCUCGUAAGAGUAAACUGUUUCUUUGUUUAAAACGCAGAGAGAGUAAGGGCUGGGUAAGACGGGUGCCAGCCGCCGCGGUAAUACCUGCAGCUCAAGUGGUGAUCAUUAUUAUUGGGCCUAAAACGUCCGUAGCCGGUUUAGUAAAUGCCUGGGUAAAUCGUGUAGCUUAACUAUACGAAUUCCGGGUAGACUGCUAAACUUGAGACCGGGAGAGGCUAGAGGUACUCCUGGGGUAGAGGUGAAAUUCUGUAAUCCUAGGGGGACCACCAGUGGCGAAGGCGUCUAGCUAGAACGGGUCUGACGGUGAGGGACGAAGCCCUGGGGCGCAAACCGGAUUAGAUACCCGGGUAGUCCAGGGUGUAAAUGCUGCUUGCUUGAUGUUAGCUGAGCUCCGAGCCCAACUAGUGUCGGAGAGAAGUUGUUAAGCAAGCUGCCUGGGGAAGUACGGUCGCAAGGCUGAAACUUAAAGGAAUUGG
rnacentral:rRNA from 1 species